UUUUGUGUUUUUUUUUUUUUUUUGGUUUUGGGGGGAGGGGGGACUGUGUAGGCUCUUCUCUUUCCUCUUUUCUUUGCUCCACAACACAACUAUUUUCUACUUUUGCUCCCUAUGAGCCACCAGACAUUUCUCUCUUAUUACUAUUUCUUGGUUCAGAGAAGCAGUUAAGGGAAAAAUCUGUUGAGGUGAGGCUUUUUAUGGAUUCAGUUUUUGUGCAGACUGAUUCAAGUGGUUUCAAGCGGCAUUGGAGUAGUUUAAUAUUAUAAGGCUGUACAAUUUUGUUUACAGAGUCUUUAAUAUCAAGAGGGAUAAUACAAGACACAGAAAUUAACUCAUAUCCAAAACAAGCUACAGAAAAUCCUGUAGAGUGUAGAUGUAGAGACCAAAUUAAGCAAUUGUCCCAAAGAUUCAGCUGUUUAAGUUUGGAAGAUAGUUGUGUUGGUUGCUGUAAAACUCAUUCACUUAAAUAGUUGUUCUGCAGCUUAUUGAGUGAGCU
rnacentral:misc_RNA from 1 species